rnacentral:rRNA from 1 species
AUUGAACGCUGGCGGCAGGCCUAACACAUGCAAGUCGAGCGGAUGAAGGGAGCUUGCUCCUGGAUUCAGCGGCGGACGGGUGAGUAAUGCCUAGGAAUCUGCCUGGUAGUGGGGGAUAACGUCCGGAAACGGGCGCUAAUACCGCAUACGUCCUGAGGGAGAAAGUGGGGGAUCUUCGGACCUCACGCUAUCAGAUGAGCCUAGGUCGGAUUAGCUAGUUGGUGGGGUAAAGGCCUACCAAGGCGACGAUCCGUAACUGGUCUGAGAGGAUGAUCAGUCACACUGGAACUGAGACACGGUCCAGACUCCUACGGGAGGCAGCAGUGGGGAAUAUUGGACAAUGGGCGAGAGCCUGAUCCAGCCAUGCCGCGUGUGUGAAGAAGGUCUUCGGAUUGUAAAGCACUUUAAGUUGGGAGGAAGGGCAGUAAGUUAAUACCUUGCUGUUUUGACGUUACCAACAGAAUAAGCACCGGCUAACUUCGU